GUAUCCCUACGGGGGGCAGCAGUAGGGAAUUUUCGGCAAUGGGGGGAACCCUGACCGAGCAACGCCGCGUGAAGGAAGAAGGAAUUCGUUCUGUAAACUUCUGUUAUAAAGGAAGAAAGACGGAUGGAGGAGAUGACAUCCGAGUGACGGUACUUUAUGAGAAAGCCACGGCUAACUACGUGCCAGCAGCCGCGGUAAUACGUAGGUGGCAAGCGUUAUCCGGAAUUAUUGGGCGUAAAGAGGGAGCAGGCGGCAGCAAAGGACUGGGGGGAAAGACUGAAGCUUACCUUCAGUAAGC
rnacentral:rRNA from 1 species